rnacentral:lncRNA from 1 species
GGCAAGGUGUAACAAGACUCGUCACUGUUCAUUAAACGUGCAAUCUGGGCUUUACAACAAAAUAUUAAUAAUUAACACAACCAAUCAGUCAUUUAUGUCUUUGCAAAGGCUUACGGCCAGCGGCCAACCUGACGCCAGCCCCCGCAGCAGGAAAAUGGGGAACUCCGCAAGGAUCUUAGAAGCAGAGCAGGAAAGGGGCCGAGUACAUAAAGAAAGGUGAGGCGUGAUCCGUGGGAGGAGGCUCGCCCGCACAAUGCCAAGUCAGAACUAGGAGUCGGUAAUCGGGCCUGCAGUGGGUAUGGCGCCGAACGCUGGGGACGGAGGAAGCGACUGGGGUAGAUUGUGCAGAGAGUGGGGAUAAACCCAUUCAACUGGACCCUGGGAGUAACAAGGCCGAACCGUGCUCGGAACGAACGAAUUCGGGGAAGGAUGAAGCUGGCACCGAUUCUAGAACCGUGGAGGAGAUCCAGCUUGGAUGGUUUGGCCAGGGGGGAAGAAGAUUGGAAGAACAGCCAGGAAACGGGGGAUUUACGUUAGCUGUGGCGGGUAAAAGCCGGGUUAGAAGAGACCCAACGCUAGCUGGGGUUUGGUGAACAACAGCGUCUCAGGAACUGCUCCAAGACAGAUGGGAAUGGAGACCAGCUAGUCGCAGAGACAGGCUGAAGGCGAGGAGAAGAAUCAAGCGUUUAUCAUCUAAUAGAAAGUACGAUGGGUGGUUAAUACAGAGACCCUCUCCUUCACUCUCCAACAGCCCGGCCUGGCCGAUGGAAUAUUUGCUGCUUCCCUCCGGAGACCUGGUCCCUGAAUUUUCUCUCAUCCAGAGAGGCCGGAAAAGAAAACUGGGGCAGACAGCAAAAGAGGGAGAGAAACCAGCCCACUGGCCGGAGAUGGGAGGUAUUACCCUCAUUUCUCAGAAUUAAAGGGUUAAGGAAGAUGGGACAGACGUAUGUAGAUGGGCAGCUUUCUCCGCGGGGAUCCCACUCUAAAGGGCGCAGGACCGGCGGGCCAUCAAGAGCCCUGGCUCUGGUUGGUUUG